CAAAAAAUAGUUUAAAUAGAAUAUUAAUUUUGGAGAUUAAAGGUAUGAAAUUAAAAAUUAUUUUUUUGA
rnacentral:tRNA from 1 species